rnacentral:misc_RNA from 1 species
GAGAAGAACUAAACAAAAUGUUCUCCCAAAACGAAGAGCUUUAUAACCACAUUCCUCGCCUACCCCAGAAAAAUGCAAAAAUUCUACAGCAAAGAAUAGCAGACGUUUAUGAACAAAUUCAAACGUGCAAGAAACAGUAUGUGUAGACGAAAUUGGAUUUCUCUGUGAUGUUUAUUUGGAAGGUUUCAAACCUUCGUUUUUAUAUGUGAAUAUUUAACGCAAUUCAUAGCGGGAGAAUUCUUUAUGAAGAUUAUGGACUUGUUACAGCAUUCUUUCAUUCUGUGUAUCUUGCCAUACAAUCAAGAACGCCUAUUUUUGUGCCUUUCAAAAAGGACACCUUAUUUUUUUAAAGUGCUAUCUAAUCAUGAUAUUUUUUUCUUUGCAAUAUUACCAUAUUUUUAAUGUUCAUGUUUCAUCCCAUAUAAAAAUCACAUCGUAUGCGAUUACCAUUGUUAAACUCUCAUCGUUAUGAUAAAGUACUUGAAAGCCU